rnacentral:rRNA from 1 species
UACAGAGGGGGCAAGCGUUAUUCGGAAUUACUGGGCGUAAAGGGCUCGUAGGCGGCCAACUAAGUCAGACGUGAAAUCCCUCAGCUUAACUGGGGAACUGCGUCUGAUACUGGAUGGCUUGGAUUCGGGAGAGGAAUGCGGAAUUCCAGGUGUAGCGGUGAAAUGCGUAGAGAUCCGGAGGAACACCGAAGGCGAAGGCAGUGUCCUGGCGAGUGACUGACGCUGAGGUGCGGAAGCCAGGGGAGCGAACGGG